rnacentral:snRNA from 1 species
AUACUUACCUGGCAGGGUAGAUAUCAGGAUCACAAAAGUGGUUUUCCCAGCGUGGAACUUACCCCUCACUCUCCAAAUGUGCUAGCUCCUGCAUUUUUUCCAAAAACAGGAAACUGGACUGCAUAAUUUGUGGUAGUGGGGGACUGCAUUUGUGCUUGCCCCUA